rnacentral:rRNA from 1 species
CCAAUAGCGUAUAUUAAAGUUGUUGCAGUUAAAAAGCUCGUCGUUGAAUUUUGGGUCUGGCCGGGCGGUCCGCCCUCCGGGUGAGUACUGUUCCGACGCCGGGCCUAUCCUUCUGGAGAGUCGGCAUGUCCUUUGUUGGGUGUGCCGGGGAACCAGGACCAUUACCUUGAAAAAAUUAGAGUGUUCAAAGCAGGCGUAUGCUCGGAUACAUUAGCAUGGAAUAAUGAAAUAGGACGCGUGGUGCUAUUUUGUUGGUUUCUAGAACCGCCGUAAUGAUUAAUAGGGAUAGUUGGGGGCAUUAGUAUUCAAUUGUCAGAGGUGAAAUUCUUGGAUUUAUUGAAGACUAACUUCUGCGAAAGCAUUUGCCAAGGAUGUUUUCAUUAAUCAAGAACGAAAGUUAGGGGAUCGAAGACGAUCAGAUACCGUCGUAGUCUUAACCAUAAACUAUGCCGACUAGGAAUCGGGCGAUGUUAUUCUCAUGACUCGCCCGGCGCCUUAUG